rnacentral:rRNA from 1 species
UGCAAGUCGAGGGGUAACAUUGUAGCUUGUACAGAUGACGACCGGCGCACGGGUGCGUAACGCGUAUAGAAUCUACCUUUUAAAGGGGGAUAGACUUUAGAAAUGACGAUUCAUAUCCCAUAGUAUUGAGAAAUCGCCUGAUUACUUAAUUAAAGAUUUCUCGGUAAAAGAUGACUAUGCGUCCUAUUAGCUAGAUGGUAAGGUAACGGCUUACCAUGGCAAUGAUAGGUAGGGGUCCUGAGAGGGAGAUC